rnacentral:lncRNA from 1 species
GUGCACAGGCUAGAGGUUUGAUGUUCAAUGCAGACAUAGCCAUACGUGGUACAUAUGUAUGUAAGGAUGCAUUACAUUGUUAAAUGCUGCUCAAAAUACCAUCUGUAGGAGCAGGACGUACUGAGAAUCAGCCUUGCAGGGUGGCCUCCUUCCAUGGGUUCUGCAAGCCAUGGCACAGCUGCUUGACUUGCUUAUCAAACAUGGAGCUGAUGCUGUGUUGCUUCAUGUACCUGUUGGUGCAGGAGGAAUGGCCGAUAAGCAGCUAGUCAAGAUGAACUUAUUAAAAAAAAAAUUACUAAUUUUUCCUGUUUCAUGCCAGCUUUGCAGUAUGGCUGCUAAAGCUGGCAGCUUGUCCAGGGUACUUCAGCCUGCUGCUGUCUGAGCCAGCUCUAAUUAGAGCAUAAGUUUCAAACCAGCUUGUCCCUUAAGAAAGCUUUGCCUUUACCCUUAAUUAUGCCUGUGAUGUGGAUGGAAGCUUGUUUGCCAAGUAUUUGAUAGGUAAAAAACCCAUAGUAUCCCAAGUGCAGCUGAAGGGUUACCAACAUGCAACCAACACUACUGUAGCUUCCUAUGACCUCCUACUUUCUAAAACAGCUUAGUCUUUUGAACUUCAACAAGCAGUCUGUAUUUCUUCAUAGUAAGUUCAACUUGUGCUUGUGGUUUUCUGCAUUUUCUUUUUCCCCUACAUGUCCACAUUCAGGGCAGUGUAGGAUAACAGACUUCCAGAAUAAUCAUGAGACAUCCUUCUUUUCUUCAUUUAAUCAGUCAUCUCUGAUAGCUAUGUUUUGUCCUAAAGUUGACAGAAAAGGAAUAGUCAAACUUUUUCAAACCAAUCUUCUGGAAAGCAGGAAUCAUUUGAAGCAAACGCACCUAGAAGUUAUUAAAAGACAUCAAUACUAACCCAACUAGAGACUUUCUUGCAGUAAAGAAACAAGAGUUUCAUUUAAAUUAUGACCAGAAUUCAGAUUACCUGUUAAGAUAAAUAUGGUUGUAUAAACUAGUGGCAAUUUGUUCAGAUGAAGUUUUUUGCAGAGUAUAUUUUAAAUUAAUUUGAGAAUAUAUUUUGAAUUCUAGAAUCCUUGCUUGUAAAAGGAUCAUUUUUUAAAGUGGUUUGUAAAAUAGUGAAGAUGACCAUAAAGUCUUACAAUGAAAAUACAAUAAAUUGCUUUCUUUUAGUUUGCUUGAAGUGUUU